AGUGAACGUUGGCGGCGUGGAUUAGGCAUGCAAGUCGAGCGAGAACCGUAGCAAUACGGGGACAGCGGCGAAAGGGACAGUAAUGUGUAGGUACCUACCUCCGGGUUCGGGAUAGCUGCGGGAAACUGCAGGUAAUACCGAAUAACGUCUCCGGACCAAAGGUGUGAUUCCACCUGGAGAGGGGCCUGCAUCCUAUUAGCUAGUUGGGGAGGUAACGGCUCACCAAGGCGACGAUGGGUAGCGGGUGUGAGAGCACGACCCGCGUCAUUGGGACUGGGACACUGCCCAGACACCGACGGGUGGCUGCAGUCGAGGAUCUUCGGCAAUGGGCGCAAGCCUGACCGAGCGACGCCGCGUGCGGGAUGAAGGCCUUCGGGUUGUAAACCGCUGUCGUAGAGGAGGAAAUGCAGGGGGGUUCUCCCCUCUGCCUGACCUAUUCUAGGAGGAAGGACGGGCUAAGUUCGUGCCAGCAGCCGCGGUAA
rnacentral:rRNA from 1 species